CACCUAGAUUUGUAUGGAUUUUAAAAAGUCUGGAACGAAUACACCCAAAUUUAUAUGCAUUUUUAAAAGUCUUGAACGAAUACACCCAGAUUUCUGCAGACUUUUAAAAGUCUGAAACGAAUACACCAAGACUUUUAAAAUCCAUAGAAAUCUAUUAAACUCCACAACGAAUACACCCCCUAAAUCUUGAUCAAACCACAUAAAUCUUAGAGUUCUUUAUUGUUUUCCUUUAAUCCGUUGCUAUUGGUUUCAUCAACUGGCGCCGUUCGUGAGAAAUCGGGCUAAGGCAUGGAUGUUAUCCUCUUCUUCGACGACGAUUCAUCGUUCUAGUGGGCGAUUUUUAUGAAAACAUUCAUCGGAUUAAAACAAUUUUAGGGAAAAAUACCCAGUUCUCGAUCAUCUCUCCCUUUUGGACCUAUUUCAGAAGAAUUCGAUGAUCAUUAAUUCCUCAUAUCUAUGGGUGAACUUGUUGGUCCUCUCCUGAUUUCUCAAAUUCAUGGUUGUCCGACCACCUCAAAGUCACGGUUGUUCUUCCCAAGAUUCGUUUAUCAAAACGAAGUUUGGGCAAUUUUCUACAAAAUCUGGAUUCUCUAGUUUCGUUGUUUGAUCGGCCGGGGAAUCAAUAUUCAGCUACUCUGAUCCCACUCCAUCUCAAAAUUCCAACUAAUUCGGCAUUCUACCUCCCCACCACCGGCCAUCAUCUCCAAAUCGAAGGGAAUCCUCACAAAAAAUCUCCACAAAAUCCCUAAAUUCGGGCGAACAACGGUAUCUCGCAGAUCGUUGGCCCGUCCUCUGUAAUCCCCGAAUCACCGUCGCGGCGGGGUGACGGAGCGGCCGUCAGCAUCUUCUCUCUCUCUCUCACUAUGAAAUCGCCAAAAAUCAGUCUGUGAAAAUCAAAGAUCUGGAAAUUCUCAAAUCUCUAAAAUCGUUGAACUACAAUCUUCUCCAACGACCACCGCCUUGUCUCCAGCUUCAACGUCGCUCUCUUCUACCAUCGGAUAAAGAUGGGAAGAAUUCCAGGAGAAGUAUGACAACCCCGUGCAUAAAGAUAAGUUUUCCUGUUAUUCUUGUUCAGGGGCAAGGACCCUUGUUUUGUGAGUUGCUUAAAAAAAAAAAAACAAAUCUUUAGGGGCUGGGAAUGAAACCAUGUGGGGUGGGAUAUGUUUGUAUUUGUUUACUCGAAAAGUGCUAUGAUUCAUGAUGCUAUGGUUGUUCUAUCAAAGAUGAAAGAUUUAAAUAUUCAGCCAAUAAUUAUGACAUACAAUAGUUUGUUGCACAACUUUAGGGAAACUUAUACUAUUAUUUGGGGGCGGUGCAGGACAAUGGGGAGUAAAAUGAGAUUCGGCACAAGGUGGACAGGACUCCAUCCAUUCCUCGAAAAAGCUUCAAAGGGCUCUUGAAAAUAGCGUGAAGAGAGAUUGGUUGAAAUGUAAAGAAAUACUAAGAUAUAGAGGCAAAUCAAAACUUACUUCGUAUGGUUAGUGUGAAAUCCAUCGGCUGUGCUGAUCUGGUGGGCGAUAAAUUCUUGAGCAGAAGAUGAAUUGAUGGAUAUUCACUUGAUGUCUUUGUUGUGGAUGGUUGGGAAAGGGGCAUUGAUUGUCACAGAGCCACACUAGUGAAACUAAUUCCAUACAUUGAGAAACAGUCAGUUAAACGAAAGCUAGAAUUUCCUACUAUUGGACUGAAGCAGAGUGGAUUUAAUAUAGCAUCAUCCUAUGCGGAAAUUCCUAUUGAUGGGAAUGAUGUCUGGGAAAUUGAUGCCAAUUUGUUGGAGUUUGAAUUCAAGAUUGCUUUAGGGUCAAAUGGAGACAUCUACAAAGGUUUAUUUCGUAGUUAAGAUGUGGCCAUUAAAAUUUUCAAGACUGGCUCUGUUAAUAAAUGACAUGAUUUUGAUGGAAAGUCCAGAUAUAUUUGUGAGCAUGGCUAUAAUGAACUUCUGGGCAAUUCAUUUGACUUUAGAUUUCUCUUUGUAUUUUCUUCGCUCACUUUCUUAAUAUGCAAGAUAUCUUAUUUGAUA